UACGUAGGGUGCGAGCGUUGUCCGGAAUUACUGGGCGUAAAGAGCUCGUAGGUGGUUUGUCGCGUUGUCCGUGAAAACUCACAGCUUAACUGUGGGCGUGCGGGCGAUACGGGCAGACUGGAGUACUGCAGGGGAGACUGGAAUUCCUGGUGUAGCGGUGGAAUGCGCAGAUAUCAGGAAGAACACCGGUGGCGAAGGCGGGUCUCUGGGCAGUAACUGACGCUGAGGAGCGAAAGCAUGGGGAGCGAACAGG
rnacentral:rRNA from 1 species